rnacentral:rRNA from 1 species
GAUGAACGCUGGCGGCGUGCCUAAUACAUGCAAGUCGAGCGAACGGACGAGAAGCUUGCUUUUCUGAUGUUAGCGGCGGACGGGUGAGUAACACGUGGAUAACCUACCUAUAAGACUGGGAUAACUUCGGGAAACCGGAGCUAAUACCGGAUAAUAUUUUGAACCGCAUGGUUCAAAAGUGAAAGACGGUCUUGCUGUCACUUAUAGAUGGAUCCGCGCUGCAUUAGCUAGUUGGUAAGGUAACGGCUUACCAAGGCAACGAUGCAUAGCCGACCUGAGAGGGUGAUCGGCCACACUGGAACUGAGACACGGUCCAGACUCCUACGGGAGGCAGCAGUAGGGAAUCUUCCGCAAUGGACGAAAGCCUGACGGAGCAACGCCGCGUGAGUGAUGAAGGUCUUCGGAUCGUAAAACUCUGUUAUUAGGGAAGAACAUAUGUGUAAGUAACUGUGCACAUCGUGACGGUACCUAAUCAGAAAGCCACGGCUAACUACGUG